rnacentral:rRNA from 1 species
AGAGAGAGACAUGCGCGCAUAUCAAUAAGCGGAGGAAAAGAAACUAACAAGGAUUCCCCUAGUAACGGCGAGUGAAGCGGGAAGAGCUCAAAUUUGAAAUCUUAAAGGGUUUCCCUUUACGAAUUGUAGUUUAAAGAAGUGUUUUCUGUUGAGGUUUUGGUAAAAGUUCUUUGGAAUAGGACAUCAUUGAGGGUGAGAAUCCCGUAUUUGACCUUUACUUUCAACUUUGUGAUACACUUUCAAAGAGUCGGAUUGUUUGGGAAUGCAGUCCAAAAUGGGUGGUAAAUUUCAUCUAAAGCUAAAUAUUGGCGAGAGACCGAUAGCGAACAAGUACCGUGAGGGAAAGAUGAAAAGAACUUUGAAAAGAGAGUUAAACAGUACGUGAAAUUGUCAAAAGGGAAGCGUUUGACACCAGUGUUGUUUUUCUGAAAAUCAAUUAAAGAACUGUUUAUGCUAAGUUGUUUAGACUUUAUCAGCUAUCUGUUUAGUUUUGAGCUUUUCUUUAAUGCACUUUUCAGUUAACAAGUCAACAUCAAUUUCUUUUGCUGUAAAAAAGCUUGAGGAAGGUGGCUUGAGAUUCGUCUUAAGUGUUUAUAGCCUCUUGCCUAUGCAGUCGGAGAGAUUGAGGUCUGCAGCGUAGAUCCUUCGGGGCUAAAUGCAUUUGUGCUAAGUUAUAGCAUUUUAUAGACAACUUGUUGACUAUGAUUUGUCUUGUAGCUUACUCGCUUAUGUUAUUUUACCUACGCUUAGGAUGUUGACGCAUGAGAUAUACGC